AGAGUUUGAUCCUGGCUCAGAUUGAACGCUGGCGGCAUGCCUUACACAUGCAAGUCGAACGGUAACAGGUUAAGCUGACGAGUGGCGAACGGGUGAGUAAUAUAUCGGAACGUGCCCAGUCGUGGGGGAUAACGCAGCGAAAGCUGUGCUAAUACCGCAUACGAUCUAUGGAUGAAAGCGGGGGACUUGCAAGAGCCUCGCGCGAUUGGAGUGGCCGAUAUCAGAUUAGCUAGUUGGUGGGGUAAAAGCUCACCAAGGCGACGAUCUGUAGCUGGUCUGAGAGGACGACCAGCCACACUGGAACUGAGACACGGUCCAGACUCCUACGGGAGGCAGCAGUGGGGAAUUUUGGACAAUGGGCGCAAGCCUGAUCCAGCAAUGCCGCGUGCAGGAUGAAGGCCUUCGGGUUGUAAACUGCUUUUGUACGGAGCGAAAAGGUUCUUUCUAAUACAAGGGAUUCAUGACGGUACCGUAAGAAUAAGCACCGGCUAACUACGUGCCAGCAGCCGCGGUAAUACGUAGGGUGCGAGCGUUAAUCGGAAUUACUGGGCGUAAAGCGUGCGCAGGCGGUUUUGUAAGACAAAUGUGAAAACCCCGGGCUCAACCUGGGAACUGCAUAUGUGACUGCAAGGCUAGAGUACGGUAGAGGGGGAUGGAAUUCCGCGUGUAGCAGUGAAAUGCGUAGAUAUGCGGAGGAACACCGAUGGCGAAGGCAAUCCCCUGGACCUGUACUGACGCUCAUGCACGAAAGCGUGGGGAGCAAACAGGAUUAGAUACCCUGGUAGUCCACGCCCUAAACGAUGUCAACUGGUUGUUGGGUCUUUACUGACUCAGUAACGAAGCUAACGCGUGAAGUUGACCGCCUGGGGAGUACGGCCGCAAGGUUG
rnacentral:rRNA from 1 species